AGAGUUUGAUCCUGGCUCAGAUUGAACGCUGGCGGCAUGCCUUACACAUGCAAGUCGAACGGCAGCACGGGGGCAACCCUGGUGGCGAGUGGCGAACGGGUGAGUAAUACAUCGGAACGUGUCCUGUAGUGGGGGAUAGCCCGGCGAAAGCCGGAUUAAUACCGCAUACGAUCUACGGAAGAAAGCGGGGGAUCCUUCGGGACCUCGCGCUAUAGGGGCGGCCGAUGGCAGAUUAGCUAGUUGGUGGGGUAAAGGCCUACCAAGGCGACGAUCUGUAGCUGGUCUGAGAGGACGACCAGCCACACUGGGACUGAGACACGGCCCAGACUCCUACGGGAGGCAGCAGUGGGGAAUUUUGGACAAUGGGGGAAACCCUGAUCCAGCAAUGCCGCGUGUGUGAAGAAGGCCUUCGGGUUGUAAAGCACUUUUGUCCGGAAAGAAAACUUCUCCAUUAAUACUGGGGGAGGAUGACGGUACCGGAAGAAUAAGCACCGGCUAACUACGUGCCAGCAGCCGCGGUAAUACGUAGGGUGCGAGCGUUAAUCGGAAUUACUGGGCGUAAAGCGUGCGCAGGCGGUUCGUUAAGACAGAUGUGAAAUCCCCGGGCUUAACCUGGGAACUGCAUUUGUGACUGGCGAGCUAGAGUAUGGCAGAGGGGGGUAGAAUUCCACGUGUAGCAGUGAAAUGCGUAGAGAUGUGGAGGAAUACCGAUGGCGAAGCAGCCCCCUGGGCCAAUACUGACGCUCAUGCACGAAAGCGUGGGGAGCAACAGGAUUAGAUACCCUGGUAGUCCACGCCCUAACGAUGUCAACUAGUUGUCGGGUCUUCAUUGACUUGGUAACGUAGCUAACGCGUGAAGUUGACCGCCUGGGGAGUACGGUCGCAAGAUUAAAACUCAAAGGAAUUGACGG
rnacentral:rRNA from 1 species